rnacentral:rRNA from 1 species
GAUGAACGCUGGCGGCGUGCCUAACACAUGCAAGUCGAGCGUGAAGGUUCGGAUUGAAGCUUCGGCAGAGAGAAGAACUGGAAAGCGGCGGACGGGUGAGUAACGCGUGGGCAACCUGCCCCAUACAGCCGGAUAGCCACUGGAAACGGUGAUUAAUACGGCAUAAGACCACAGUGCCGCAUGGUACAGGGGUCAAAGAUUUAUCGGUAUGGGAUGGGCCCGCGUCUGAUUAGCUAGUUGGUGAGGUAACGGCUCACCAAGGCGACGAUCAGUAACCGGCCUGAGAGGGCGAACGGUCACACUGGAACUGAGACACGGUCCAGACUCCUACGGGAGGCAGCAGUGGGGAAUAUUGCACAAUGGGCGCAAGCCUGAUGCAGCAACGCCGCGUGAGUGAAGAAGGCCUUCGGGUCGUAAAGCUCUGUCGUUUGGGACGAACGCGUUCCAUGCAAAUAGUGUGGAAUAAUGACGGUACCAAAGGAGGAAGCCACGGCUAAC